rnacentral:piRNA from 1 species
UGCGGGGCUGACGUAGUGCUUAACCUUGU